GUUGUAAAAGAAAAAGUUAUCAACUAAGUGGUCGAACUCUUCGUAAACUACCAUUCCUUGCACAUGCGCUGUAUUCGAAAGCACAAACGAUAACCUCAGAAGAGUUUUUGAAUAAUCUUUCAAUGAUUGUUGACAAGCAGUUCAAAGAAAAAGAGAAUCUUUGCUCAGUUGGUGAAGAAAAAAGCGUGCAAGCGUGAUCUUUUUAACGAUUGUAUACUUUUUAUACAUUCAUAGAAAUCUUUUGGAUAUGCUUUGUUGAAGAUUAAGAUUUUUUUAUUGCUCAAUUUAAGUCAAUUUGGUAAGAUAGAUCACAAAGUUUGCUAAUUUAUAUUGGUACUUUGAGACUCCUUACAUGACGUUUCCCCAACACACCCGAGGUCAAAUGCAGCAAUGUGUAUAGUUCGUUAUUGAGGAAAAUGUGUAGAUUAUUUUAAAUAGGGAAGGAUAUUUAUACGAUAUAGUUAAUUGCAACUGUUUAAUUUCAACGUAUGUUUACAUUAAAUUACAUCCUUAAGCCAACUUUACUAAUAUUGAUCGCUAUUUUCAUGUUAUACAUCUAUAAUCAUCUUGUUAAAGA